rnacentral:rRNA from 1 species
AGUGAACGCUGGCGGCAGGCCUAAUACAUGCAAGUCGAACGGCAGCACAGCAGAGCUUGCUCUGUGGGUGGCGAGUGGCGGACGGGUGAGGAAUACGUGGGAAUCUGCCCAGUCGUGGGGGAUAACGUAGGGAAACUUACGCUAAUACCGCAUGCGCCCUUUGGGGGAAAGCCGGGGAUCUUCGGACCUGGCGCGAGUGGAUGAGCCUACGUCGGAUUAGCUAGUUGGAGGGGUAAAGGCCCACCAAGGCGACGAUCCGUAGCUGGUCUGAGAGGAUGAUCAGCCACACUGGAACUGAGACACGGUCCAGACUCCUACGGGAGGCAGCAGUAGGGAAUAUUGGACAAUGGGCGCAAGCCUGAUCCAGCCAUGCCGCGUGAGUGAAGAAGGCCCUCGGGUUGUAAAGCUCUUUUGUUGGGGAAGAAAAGCCUUGGGUUAAUACCCUGAGGUUCUGACGGUACCCAAAGAAUAAGCACCGGCUAACUCUGUGCCAGCCGCCGCCGUAAUAC